rnacentral:rRNA from 1 species
GACGAACGCUGGCGGCGUGCUUAACACAUGCAAGUCGAACGGAAAGGCCCUGCUUUUGUGGGGUGCUCGAGUGGCGAACGGGUGAGUAACACGUGAGUAACCUGCCCUUGACUUUGGGAUAACUUCAGGAAACUGGGGCUAAUACCGGAUAGGAGCUCCUGCUGCAUGGUGGGGGUUGGAAAGUUUCGGCGGUUGGGGAUGGACUCGCGGCUUAUCAGCUUGUUGGUGGGGUAGUGGCUUACCAAGGCUUUGACGGGUAGCCGGCCUGAGAGGGUGACCGGCCACAUGGGGACUGAGAUACGGCCCAGACUCCUACGGGAGGCAGCAGUGGGGAAUAUUGCACAAUGGGCGGAAGCCUGAUGCAGCAACGCCGCGUGCGGGAUGACGGCCUUCGGGUGGUAAACCGCUUUCGCCUGUGACGAAGCGUGAGUGACGGUAAUGGGUAAAGAAGCACCGGCGAACUACGU